UUGACCGUGCAAAGGUAGCAUAAUCAUUAGUCUAUUAAUUGUGGACUUGUAUGAAUGGUUUCACGAAAUAUUAACUGUCUCAUUUAUAUACAUAUAAUUUAAUUUUUGAGUUAAAAAGCUUAAAUUUUAUUGUAGGACGAGAAGACCCUAUAGAUCUUUAUUUAUUUAUUUCUAGGCUUUUUUUGUUUAUUUUUUGUUUAUAAUUAUUUAUAUUUAGUUGGGGUGACUAUUAGAUAGAAUUAACUCUUUAUUAUAUUAUACAUUUAUUUAUGAAUAAUUGACCUUAUAUUAUUGUUUACAAGAUUAAGAUACCUUAGGGAUAACAGCGUAAUUUUCUUUAAGAGUUCAUAUCGACAGGAAAGAUUGCGACCUCGAUGUUGGAUUAAGAUAAAUUUUAGGUGUAGAAGUUUAAAGUUUUAGGUCUGUUCGACCUUUAAUAUCUUACAUGAU
rnacentral:rRNA from 1 species